rnacentral:snRNA from 1 species
AUCGCUUCUCGGCCUUUUGGCUAAGAUCAAGUGUAGUAUCUGUUUUUAUCAGUUUAAUAUCUGAUAUGUCCUCUAUUUGAGGACUAUAUAUUAAAUGGAUUUUUGGAGCUGGGAGAUGGAAUAGGGGCUUGCUCCGUCCACUCCAUGCAUCGACCUGGUAUUGCAGUACCUCCAGGAACGGUGCACCUCCC